rnacentral:rRNA from 1 species
GAUGAACGCUGGCGGCGUGCCUAAUACAUGCAAGUCGAGCGAACGGACGAGAAGCUUGCUUCUCUGAUGUUAGCGGCGGACGGGUGAGUAACACGUGGAUAACCUACCUAUAAGACUGGGAUAACUUCGGGAAACCGGAGCUAAUACCGGAUAAUAUUUUGAACCGCAUGGUUCAAAAGUGAAAGACGGUCUUGUUGUCACUUAUAGUGGAUCCGCGCUGCAUUAGCUAGUUGGUAAGGUAACGGCUUACCAAGGCAACGAUGCAUAGCCGACCUGAGAGGGUGAUCGGCCACACUGGAACUGAGACACGGUCCAGACUCCUACGGGAGGCAGCAGUAGGGAAUCUUCCGCAGUGGGCGAAAGCCUGACGGAGCAACGCCGCGUGAGUGAUGAAGGUCUUCGGAUCGUAAAACUCUGUUAUUAGGGAAGAACAUAUGUGUAAGUAACUGUGCACAUCUUGACGGUACCUAAUCAGAAAGCCACGGCUAACUACGUGCCAGCAGCCGCGGUAAUACGUAGGUGGCAAGCGUUAUCCGGAAUUAUUGGGCGUAAAGCGCGCGUAGGCGGUUUUUUAAGUCUGAUGCGAAAGCCCACGGCUCAACCGUGGAGGGUCAUUGGAAACUGGAAAACUUGAGUGCAGAAGAGGAAAGUGGAAUUCCAUGUGUAGCGGUGAAAUGCGCAGAGAUAUGGAGGAACACCAGUGGCGAAGGCGACUUUCUGGUCUGUAACUGACGCUGAUGUGCGAAAGCGUGGGGAUCAAACAGGAUUAGAUACCCUGGUAGUCCACGCCGUAAACGAUGAGUGCUAAGUGUUAGGGGGUUUCCGCCCCUUAGUGCUGCAGCUAACGCAUUAAGCACUCCGCCUGGGGAGUACGACCGCAAGGUUGAAACUCAAAGGAAUUGACGGGGACCCGCACAAGCGGUGGAGCAUGUGGUUUAAUUCGAAGCAACGCGAAGAACCUUACCAAAUCUUGACAUCCUUUGACAACUCUAGAGAUAGAGCCUUCCCCUUCGGGGGGGGCAAAGUGACAGGUGGUGCAUGGUUGUCGUCAGCUCGUGUCGUGAGAUGUUGGGUUAAGUCCCGCAACGAGCGCAACCCUUAAGCUUAGUUGCCAUCAUUAAGUUGGGCACUCUAAGUUGACUGCCGGUGACAAACCGGAGGAAGGUGGGGAUGACGUCAAAUCAUCAUGCCCCUUAUGAUUUGGGCCACACACGUGCUACAAUGGACAAUACAAAGGGCAGCGAAACCGCGAGGUCAAGCAAAUCCCAUAAAGUUGUUCUCAGUUCGGAUUGUAGUCUGCAACUCGACUACAUGAAGCUGGAAUCGCUAGUAAUCGUAGAUCAGCAUGCUACGGUGAAUACGUUCCCGGGUCU